GUGAUGCAUCUGGUAGCCCGAGCCAGAGCAUCCAGGUACAGUGCACGCUUUAUUGGGGUAGUCGCUCUGGGGACAGUCAUCACCCGAAUUUCUCGGACGCCCUACGGGCUGUAUACCGCUCUGCUACGAGGGUCGCUGCAUUCGCUACGCAUUGUACGUUCGUGAACUUCCGACCAAAUGUUCCGACAGUGUCGUUGGCGUCGCCGGUCACUUUCGCCUGAUGAAAAGUUGAUUAAGGCAUUCUUGCAAGCCAUUAUGAACGACGUUGCAACUCUGCCGCCCCUUGCCGCCUUCAUGGGAUCUGGUGUGCAAAGACAGACAACCAUAUCAACCUUCCGCUGAAACGUACGGCCCAGCACCACCACCACCACCAUAACCAACAACAAACAAAAAAGCGCCCAAGAAGAAGAGUUAGGCCCAAUUUACUUACGCAUCUUCCCUGCACACCAAUCAACACCAGAAGUACUCUGCACCCACAGCAAAAUCACCGUCGUUAACGCUGCCAGCAGAGCUGCCAUGCUGUUUGAAGUACUUGCCUUACAGCGGUUCACAGCAGAGUACAGCAAUUCUGUACGCACUGAAUAGGGGUUUGAGUUCGAGAAGCGCCCGCACAACGAUGCUCACGUGAGAGUUGAGUCAAGAAGUUUGUGAUUGAUGGCCACCUAAACAAAUAUAGUCGGCUUAUUUGAUAUGUACUAAACGCU